UUGGAAUCAACUUCUUCCAAACUCCUGCUCCUGUUGAUAUUUUGAUCUCCUUUUAUGAAACAUGGAUGUUCUUAAUAGCAUCUAGAAUGGGAAAUCCUUUCCAGAAGGCUUUCAAUUGACUUUGCCCAGAUCCAUCAGAGGAAUUGGUAUCUAUGACAGGUGAAACAGUCACAAAUGGAAUUUCAAGAAACAUUCUAUAUACACUGCCUCUAGGACUGGGACAGAUAGCCACUGAGUACCAGCUUCAAAUCACCCUGCAUGUUUUCUUGUUGGAAAGAUAACCACUGGAGAACCAUCUCAUUACCUUCAGCAAAAAUGGAAACAAAUCAAGACAUUAAGAAUGCCACAGUGGACAGCAGUUACGCAAGGUUCAGCAGAGGAAGUUUUCAAGAUGGUGUGCCUCGCUAGCCAGAAAUCAGAAAAGAUUGAAGCUAGCUUUUUCAUCUCAGCUGCUCCUUAAAUCAGUCCAACCCCUCCAAAUUAAUGUGAAUUGAAACAUGCAUUACUUUUCAACUUAAUUGAGUACUUACUAUGUGUGAACCACUGCACAAAAUAGGGGAAGAAAAUGAGGGAGACAAAGCCUGCCUUCAGUAAAUUUACAGUUAGUUUCAGGGUACAUUGUUUUUCUUCUGCUGUUAAUUAGGUGUAUCCCCAAGAAAAUAAAUAAAUAAAUGGAAAAGUA